GACGAACGCUGGCGGCGUGCCUAAUACAUGCAAGUAGAACGCUGAAGGAGGAGCUUGCUUCUCUGGAUGAGUUGCGAACGGGUGAGUAACGCGUAGGUAACCUGCCUGGUAGCGGGGGAUAACUAUUGGAAACGAUAGCUAAUACCGCAUAAUAGUAGAUGUUGCAUGACAUUUGCUUAAAAGGUGCAAUUGCAUCACUACCAGAUGGACCUGCGUUGUAUUAGCUAGUUGGUGGGGUAACGGCUCACCAAGGCGACGAUACAUAGCCGACCUGAGAGGGGGAUCGGCCACACUGGGACUGAGACACGGCCCAGACUCCUACGGGAGGCAGCAGUAGGGAAUCUUCGGCAAUGGACGGAAGUCUGACCGAGCAACGCCGCGCGAGUGAAGAAGGUUUUCGGAUCGUAAAGCUCUGUUGUAAGAGAAGAACGAGUGUGAGAGUGGAAAGUUCACACUGUGACGGUAUCUUACCAGAAAGGGACGGCUAACUACGUG
rnacentral:rRNA from 1 species